CCAAGGGUGGGGGGUGUCAAAGAUGGCUGAUGCAACUUCUUCAAAAAAUGCUGCUUGGGAUGAAAAUAACUCACUCGGUGGAGAUGUGGGAGGUUCUGAUAGCAGCAAUUGGAAUAAACAGGCCCAAAGUGAGCCACCUGAAUCUCAAGGGUGGGGGGUGUCAAAGAUGGCUGAUACAACAUUUUCAAAAACAGCUGCUUGGGGUGAAAAUAACUCACUCGAUGGAGAUGUGGGAGGUUCUGAUAGCAGCAAUUGGAAUAAACAAGCCCUUAGUGAGCCACCUGAAUCUCAAGAGUGGGGAAUGUCAAAGAUGGGUGAUGCAAAUUUUUCAAAAACUGCUGCCUGGGUUGAUAAGAACAAGUUUGGUGGAGUUGCAGGAGGUUCUGAUAGCAGCAAAUGGAAAAAACAAUCUAAAAGUGAGCCACCGGAAUCUCAAGGGUGGGAGGUGUCAAACAUGAAUGGUGCAACUUCUUCAAAAACUGCUACUUGGGGUGAAAAGAACUUUCUCAGUGGAAGUGUGGGAGGUUCUUAUAGUAGCAAUUGGAAUAAAAACUCCCAAAGUCAACCAUCUGAAUCUCAAGGGUGGGGAGUGUCAAACAAAGGCGACGUAGCUUCUUCAAAAACUGUUGUUUGGGGUGAAAAGAACUCGCUUGGUGGAGGUUCUGAUAGUAGCAAUUGGAAUAAAAACUCCCAAAGUCAACCAUCUGAAUCUCAAGGGUGGGGAGUGUCAAACAAAGGCGAUGCAACUUCUUCAAAAACUGUUGCUUGGGGUGAAAAGAACUCGCUUGGCGGAGGUUCUGAUAACAGAAAUUGGAAUAAACACUCCCAAAGUGAGCCAUCUGAAUCCCAACGGCGGGGGUUGUCAAACAAAGGUGAUGCAACUUCAAAAAUUGCUACUUGGGGUGAAAAGAACUUGCAUGGUGAAGGUUCUGAUGGCAGAAAUUGGAAUAAACACUCCCAAAGUGAGCUACCUGAAUCUCAACGGUGGGGGUUGUCAAACAAACGUGAUGCAACUUCUCCAAAAAUUACUACUUGGGGUGAAAAGAACUCGCUUGGUGAAGGUCCUGAUAGCAGCAAUUGGAAUAAACAGUCUCAAAGUCAACCACCUGAAUCUCAAGGGUGGGUGGUGUCAAAGAUGGGUAAUGAAACUUCUUCAAAAACUGCUUCUUGGGGUGAAAAGAACUCGCUUGGUGGAGGUGUGGGAGAUUCUGAUAGCAGCAAUUGGAAUAAACACUCCCAAAGUGAGCCAUCUGAAUCUCAAGGGUGGGGUGUGCCAAAGAUGAGUAUUGCAACUUCUUCAAAAACUGCUGCUUGGGGUGAAAAGAACUCCCAAAGUCAACCACCUGAAUCUCAAGAGUGGGGUGUGUCAAAGAUGGGUAAUGAAACUUCUUCAAAAACUGCUUCUUGGGGUGAAAAGAACUUGCUUGGUGGAAGUGUGAGAGAUUCUGAUAGCAGUAAUUGGAAUAAACACUCCCAAAGUGAGCCAUCUGA
rnacentral:lncRNA from 1 species